AUGCUGCUUCACACAAUAGGCACCAGCCUCUCAUCCCCCCUCCAACCCCCGGGGGAUUUUUUUUUUUUUUUUUUUACAGCAUUAAUUCACUCUGCACAAAACCCAGCUUGCAAGGCUCCUCUUCAGCAGCGACCUCUCCAUCCCUCCAGCUCCCCCCUUCCCGAGAGCCCUGCCUGCCAGAGCUGCACCCCUCCGGCUGCCCGCCCGCCCGCUGCUCUCCAGCAAAUGUCACCUGUACCCAAUGAAGCAGACCCCGAAGUGCCACGGAUGGAUCCCAGGAUUCUUAUUUUCCUCCUCUACGUGAUGAUCCUGCACGAGCUGGUGAGUGGCUGGAUGGAGUACCAGAAGCAGAUAGCCAAGCCGAAGAAGCAGGCGGGUCCAGUUUGGUCUUCUAGCAACGCCACCAGAUCCACCCCCUCCAGCUUCUCCAGGCCUCUGGUCCACUCAGUGCGCCGGGAGAGGUACAGGGACUGGAGGAAACCGGGGCGGAUCAUCCGCAAAGCGUGAGGCUGCUUCUGCUGGGGAGCGUGAGGAAAGACUCCUGAGCCAGAGGCACUCAUCCCUCGUGAGAUCUGCACCGACUCACCACCUCACAGCAGCAGCUGCAUGAGAGCAUCCUCCAGGCACUGUGAUCUGCAGCUUUCUCCUUUGCACCAAGCCUGGCACGACUGAGAAGGAACAAGCCCCUUCCUCCUGGGAACCCAUCCCUACGUGGUAAGGAGCUGGGGUGGAGACAUCUCUGAGAAGGAACGAGCUCCUUCCUCCUGAGAAUCCAGCCCUAUGUGGUGAGGAGCUGGGAUGGAGAACACUUCCGAGAAGGAAAGAGCCCCUUCCUCCUGGGAACCCAUUCCUGCACGGUGAGGAGCUGGGGUGGAGACACCUCUGCCAGCAGCGGGAUCUCUGGAGGUGGGACAAGGCUUUUUCCACCCAACUCAACAAAGUGACUUUUCUUUCUUCCCAAAAUGUCGAGUAGAUUUUUUGGGGGAAGAAUGAGAUCUGCUCUUGCAUGGGCAGCCCUGGGAAGCCUCUAAAUGGUUUCAAUCUCUUUUCCUUCCACCCAAGGACUGUGUGGCCAGUAAGCAGCGUUUUCCAAAGCAGCUGGAAUGUCUUUGGUGUCCAGUUUAUCACCGUUCCCAGGACAACUUCCCUCCACUGGGGCACCCAGAAGUCACCACACUUUGGAAAUGCUGGCUCCUUGUUAAGUCUCAUUCACUGAGCGUCUGUAGAUAUUUUUCUGCUUUUCUUCACUCUUAUUAAUUGAGUUACUCCGGGGCAGAAGGGGAGAGCGCCCUGAACCAGUGACUCAGAGUUAUGCCACCAAAUGCAAUUUGCUGCCAUGACCUCGCAAUUAGAUUUCUCUGGAGCGUUCCCAGCAGUCGAGCCAAAUGUAAGAGCGACUUUCUAAUGAGCAGAUAGAUGGGAAAGGAUUACAAUAUUGCUCUUUUAUUAGAGUCUAUGUUUUAGGCAUAAAAUUAGAUUUUAGAGGCAGAAGCCAGUUGUCGCAUCCUGCCGCCCCGCGUAGCAGUUGUACCCAGGGUGGGAAUCGCCGGGCGCUGGAGGGAUUCUGACACCGAGCUCCAAACUGCAAACGUCCGUGGCCAAACCUCCUGCCUUAUUUGCUGAACAUAAUGUUUGGCUCAAACGCAGCCUGUUUUUCUCGUUGCCAACCAUUUAUAAGCCUGACUCAGGCUCACAGACGCAUUAUCCGGGAGCAGAGAGGGAAGGGAGUGGGAAUAGAUUAUGCAUUCAUUACCCAGAAGUAGCCACCAGCUACACUCGCACAUUUGUCUGCUGCUCACUUGUUUGCAAACGGUUCCUGUCGGCUGACGCCGUGUUUGUUCAGUCGCCCACGGCAGGAGUCACCUGGGCCAAGGCAGAGCCCUGCACCCGGGCGUCCAGAGCCCCGCGCCGCAAAGAGGGGAUGUGAUUCAUCUCCUCCAAAGUAAAAUAUCAAAAGAAACCUGGCCCAACCGUGCUCUUGAAGUGGGCAAUCCUCUCUCCCAGGCAGGCUGGUUAAGUAACUGGGAAGUAGACCUCUACUGUUAGGGGAGAUGAAGUUUUUUUUCACAGUAGAAAUUCUUUGCUGUGAGGGUGGUGAGGCACUGGAACAGGCUGCCCAGAGAAGCUGUGGAUGCCCCAUCCCUGGAGGUGUUUAAGGCCAGGCUGGAUGGGGCUUUGAGCAACCUGCUCUAGAGGGAAUUGUCCCUGCCCAGGGACUUGAUGGUCUUUAAGGUCCCUUCCAACUCUAACCAUUGUAUGCUUCUAUGAUUCUAUUUUGCCUUGUGUUUGGAUAUUUUUGGAAAAGGAGAUAGGAGUAGCAAUUAACGGUUUCUGCCCAUUUCAAAGCAUAAACUCUCUGCAAAGCUGUGCCUCAGCACUGAGACACUGUGGCUAUUUCCCAAGGCGUCCACUGGCUAUCCCAGUACGUGCAGGUACAUCCUCGGGUAACAGACCAACAAAUGGAGAAGGUGGCAGGAGGAAAAAUAUUCAGAAAGCAUUUCUGGGUGGUGGGAGACUUUGGUUUCCUCAAGCUGAGUCUGCUUGGGUCCUAUAGGUGACGUGCAGCUGGAUGUUCUCCCUGCUCUUCUGCUAGAACGUGUGUGAAUUUGCUGGGAGCACUUGCUGUGCAAAAAGUGUUUCAAUUAAUUACUGAAGUGGUGCAGGAGAGGACUGGCCUCACUGCACAAGGUGGGUUCUCAGCCUCCAUGGGACAGAUGGACCUGAAUGGGGCAGGCAGAUGUCCUGACUGCUGCACCCUCAAGGAACGGUGGGGGACAGGAAUGUCUUGCUCUGCUGAUCACAUGCUGGAUCUAUUCCUGUAAAUAUCCUCAUGUUUACUUCCAAUAAACUCUUUUACAUAUAAGGUGUUUAGACUGUC
rnacentral:lncRNA from 1 species